AUUGAACGCUGGCGGCAUGCUUUACACAUGCAAGUCGAACGGCAGCGCGGGCUUCGGCCUGGCGGCGAGUGGCGAACGGGUGAGUAAUGCAUCGGAACGCGCCCAGUAGUGGGUGAUAGCCCGGCGAAAGCCGGAUUAAUACCGCAUACGACCUGAGGAUGAACGCGGGGGACCGAAAGGCCUCGCGCUAUUGGACCGGCCGAUGUCGGAUUAGCUAGUUGGUGGGGUAAAGGCUUACCAAGGCGACGAUCCGUAGCUGGUCUGAGAGGACGACCAGCCACACUGGAACUGAGACACGGCCCAGACGCCUACGGGAGGCAGCAGUGGGGAAUGGUGGACAAUGGGGGCAAGCCCGAUCCAGCCAUGCCGCGUGGGUGAAGAAGGCCUUCGGGUUGUAAAGCGCUUUUGUUGGGGAAGAAAAGCUGUAGGCUAAUACCCCGGGGGGAUGACGGUACCGAAAGAAUAAGCACCGGCUAACUACGUG
rnacentral:rRNA from 1 species